rnacentral:rRNA from 1 species
UACGUAGGGGGCAAGCGUUGUCCGGAUUUAUUGGGCGUAAAGAGCGCGUAGGCGGCCAGAUAAGUCCGGUGUGAAAAGUCACAGGCUCAACCUGUGAAUGCCGCUGGAAACUGUCUGGCUUGAGUCCGGGAGGGGCGAGUGGAAUUCCUGGUGUAGCGGUGAAAAUGCGCAGAUAUCGGGAGGAACACCAAUGGCGAAGGCAGCUCGCUGGAACGGUACUGACGCUGAG